CGCGAUUCGCCCUUCGGGGUGCCCAGGCGCGAAAACUUUGCAAUGCGGGAAACCGUGACAAGGGAACUCUGAGUGCCCGUUAAAUCGGGCUGUCCAUCGGUUUAAAUAACCGGUGAAGAAAGGGCCGGGCAAGACCGGUGCCAGCCGCCGCGGUAAUACCGGCGGCUCGAGUGGUGGCCACUAUUACUGGGCUUAAAGCGUUCGUAGCUGGUUUGUUAAGUCUCUGGGGAAAUCUUCCGGCUUAACCGGAAGGCGUCUCAGGGAUACUGGCAAACUAGGGACCGGGAGAGGUGAGAGGUACUCCAGGGGUAGGAGUGAAAUCCUGUAAUCCUUGGGGGACCACCUGUGGCGAAGGCGUCUCACCAGAACGGCUCCGACAGUGAGGGACGAAAGCUGGGGGAGCAAACCGGAUUAGAUACCCGGGUAGUCCCAGCUGUAAACGAUGCGCGUUAGGUGUAUCGGUGACCACGAGUCACCGAGGUGCCGAAGAGAAAUCGUGAAACGUGCCGCCUGGGAAGUACGGUCGCAAGGCUGAAACUUAAAGGAAUUGGCGGGGGAGCAC
rnacentral:rRNA from 1 species